rnacentral:rRNA from 1 species
UACGUAGGGCGCAAGCGUUGUCCGGAAUCACUGGGCGUAAAGGGCGCGUAGGCGGCUCAUGAAGGCUGUGGUGAAAGUCCGGGGCUCAACCUCGGAUCGGCCGUGGCGACUCGUGGGCUGGAGCACUGUAGAGGCGGGUGGAAUUCCGGGUGUAGCGGUGGAAUGCGUAGAGAUCCGGAAGAACACCAGUGGCGAAGGCGGCCCGCUGGGCAGUGGCUGACGCUGAGGCGCGACAGCGUGGGGAGCAAACGAGG